rnacentral:rRNA from 1 species
GUCUACAGCCAUGCUACCCUGAACAAGCCCAAUCUCAUAUGAUCUCGGAAGCUAAGCAGAGUCGGGGCUGGUUAGCACUUGGAUGGGAGACCACCUAGGAAAGCCAGGUGGCAUAAAAA